UGAGGAAUAUUGGUCAAUGGGCGAGAGCCUGAACCAGUCAAGUCGCGUGAGGGAAGACGGUCCUACGGAUUGUAAACCUCUUUUGUCGGGGAGCAAUAAAGCGUACGCGUACGCAGAUGCGAGUACCCGAAGAAAAAGCAUCGGCUAACUCCGUGCCAGCAGCCGCGGUAAUACGGAGGAUGCGAGCGUUAUCCGGAUUUAUUGGGUUUAAAGGGUGCGCAGGCGGAAAGUGCAAGUCAGCGGUCAAACGACGGGGCUCAACCCCGUUUCGCCGUUGAAACUGUCUUUCUAGAGUGAGCGAGAAGUAUGCGGAAUGCGUGGUGUAGCGGUGAAAUGCAUAGAUAUCACGCAGAACUCCGAUUGCGAAGGCAGCAUACCGGCGCUCAACUGACGCUCAUGCACGAAAGCGUGGGUAUCGAACAGGA
rnacentral:rRNA from 1 species